CGGUCCAGACUCCUACGGGAGGCAGCAGUGAGGAAUAUUGGUCAAUGGGCGAGAGCCUGAACCAGCCAAGUAGCGUGCAGGAUGACGGCCCUAUGGGUUGUAAACUGCUUUUAUGCGGGGAUAAAGUGCUCCACGUGUGGGGCAUUGCAGGUACCGCACGGAUAAGGACCGGCUAAUUCCGUGCCAGCAGCCGCGGUAA
rnacentral:rRNA from 1 species